UGGGGAAUAUUAGGCAAUGGGGGAAACCCUGACCUAGCAACGCCGCGUGAAGGAUGAAGGUUUUCGGAUUGUAAACUUCUUUGGCAGGGGACGAUAAUGACGGUACCCUGAGAACAAGCCACGGCUAACUACGUGCCAGCAGCCGCGGUAAUACGUAGGUGGCAAGCGUUGUCCGGAUUUACUGGGUGUAAAGGGCGAGUAGGCGGGUGCACAAGUCAGAUGUGAAAUACCGAGGCUUAACUUCGGGGCUGCAUUUGAAACUGUGCAUCUUGAGUGAUGGAGAGGCAGACGGAAUUUCCAGUGUAGCGGUAAAAUGCAUAGAGAUUGGAAGGAACACCAGUGGCGAAGGCGGUCUGCUGGACAUUAACUGACGCUGAGGAGCGAAAGUGUGGGGAGCAAACAGG
rnacentral:rRNA from 2 species